AAAAAAAAAAAAACCAGCUUACAGAACAUCAAGUCACGCUCUCAGCAGCCAGCAAUAAACUUCUUCCAUCAAGUCUGGAUCAUUCUGCUGCAAGUCUGUGCUAACAUAAAACAAAGCCAGUAGCAAGGAGGACAGAACAUGGGCUCUGGCAAAGAAGGAGCCACCAAAAACAGCUUCUGAAGCUUCUAGCUGACACUCAUCCUAGCAGCUGGUGCUUCCACACUUCUGCUGUUCAUGCCAAAGCCUACAGCAAAACACAACGAAUAAGCCAAAAAAACCCUUUCAGGAUUACACUCAGUAAAGUUCUGCUUACAGGAGACACAGUUUACCUAUUUGCCUGGCCUAUUCUGUUUUCUAGGUCUCCGUUCAGAACCCAGUUAGGUUUGUUACUACACACUGGAACAGAUUGCUCAAGGUGGUUGUAAAUCCCCAUCCCUGGAGGCAUUCAAGGCCAGACUGGAUGUGGCUCUGGGCAGCCUGGUCUAGUGGUUUGCAACCCUGCACGUAGUAAGGGGGUUGAAAAUAGAUGAUCAUUGUGGUCCUUUUCAACCCAGAUCAUUCUAAAGGAUUACUAUGAAGCAAUGCACUUGUUUUACUCUGCUAUUCAAACUUAUGAUACAUUUUUAGGACACCACACAUUCCUGCUGAAGGCAGACCUGAAGAUCAUUAUACCAGUCUAAAAGGAGCGAGAUAUUUUGGUAGGCAAGAUAAAAAAUUAAAUAGAAAAAAAAAAACAUUAGUCAAAAUAAAUCUUACUUGAGAUCAACCCAAGAACUACUUGCCCUGUUUGGUCUCAGUGCAUUCACCAGAUAGAAAAGCCUACAAAAACUGCACAACCUUCACUUGGAGAACCUGCCAUGUUAGCUAAUGCGCUGCUGGAAACUCAUGGAUCACCUAACGCAUUCUGUGCACGACAUGCGCACAAGAUGCUCUGUGCCAAGUAUCCAAAUUUAAAUAAGCAGUAUAACCAUAGAAGGUGGAUCAAGUUACUUAACAGGAAAGAAUGCGUAAGAGGUACAAGAUUGUUUGGAUGCCACAGUAGACAACGGAUGCCUUUUUUUAUGCUUGCAUGCUAGCACUGCACCAAGCUAUAUCAAAGAACUGAAUGGAUGGCAGUGCAACAGGAACAUUGUUUUCCGUGAGGAAGGUACAUAUGGUAUUUUGCUCCUAAGUUUAAGCCAAUCAAACUUCUGCUUUUCCACCUUUCAGAGACAGCUCACAUACACACUGCUUGAAUACUUUGCAAUCCGCAGAAGUGUCAGUACAGAUAAACACAACUGUCUAAAGUUUUACAUGUUCUUCCUUAGAACAUGUAAAACAGUAAUCCCCAAUUAAUCUACCAGUAACAUACCGUAAAUGUACACAAGUAUUCUCAGGCUUGUUUCCAAGUUCAGGAUGUAGUCAUAGAACCACUGUAUGGGAACUGCUGGGUCAUGGCCUGAACCUCUGAUUGAUCACCCAAGGCGAGCCAUGAGUCAGCCACAGGAGUACAGGUGAAGGCAAUUCACCUGUGCUGCCAGAAGGGGUGGAGCCGGGCUCCACCUCUCCUAGACCUAUUUAAGAGCUGGCUACCAGUGGGAAAGGAUCUCAUCUGGAGAUCCACUUUGCUGGAGUUUUGUAAGUGAGCCUAGGAUACGGCAGUUCAGAAGCAUCCACUUGUGCAAGUUCCAGCUGGCAUGGAAAUCUCACACCUUACAAGAGGAACUGCUUUAUCUUACAAGACUAUAAAACACCUAAGCAAACAGCAAUGCAAUCAUUUUCCCAGAUAAUGACCAGCAAAUGACCCUACAAUAAAUACAAGGAAUAAAAAAGCCUCAGGAAGCCCUGUUGAUCCAGAUGCUGAAUUCUCAGCUGCUUGGAGCUGAAGGUACCUGAUGGAGCAGGAAGAACUCACUUAACCUGGUUUCCUCCAGCACCACUCCUUGAAUCCAAUUCUUGAAUCACUGCUUUGCCUGACUGGUGGGGAUAGAAAAAGCAUUAAUACUAUGCCCAAAGGCAUAGCUAGCACUCCCCAAAACACCCAGCCCUACUCUUGCUGGGAGUCACGAGUCUAAUCUUGUCAAUCUCUAGCUGUUAUAAUACUAUGAUUUCAUCAGAAGCUUAUA